rnacentral:rRNA from 1 species
AACGAACGCUGGCGGCAUGCCUAACACAUGCAAGUCGAACGAGACCUUCGGGUCUAGUGGCGUACUGGUGCGUCACGCGUGGGAACCUGCCCUUAGUUUCCUAAUAACUCCCCUAAAGGGGUGCUAAUACCGGGUAAUUUCUUCGGACCAAAGAUUUAUGGCCCUUGGAUGGGCCCGCGUUGGAUUAGCUAGUGGGUAGGGUAAAAGCCUACCAAGGCGACGAUCCAGAGCUGGUGUGUGAGGAUGAUCAGCCACACUGGGACUGAGACACGGCCCAGACUCCUACGGGAAGCAGCAGUGGGGAAUAUUGGACGAGGGGCGAAAGUCUGAUACAGCAAUGCCGGGGGAGUGAUGAAGGCCUUAGGGUUGUAAAGCUCUUUUACCCGGGAUGAUAAUGACAGUACCGGGAGAAUAAGCACCGGCUAACUCCGUG